AUCACCGUGUCCGAGUGGUUAAGGAGUCCGAUUAGAAAUCGGAUGGGCUCUGCCCGCGUAGGUUCAAAUCCUGCCGGUGAUG
rfam:Fonticula alba strain ATCC 38817 unplaced genomic scaffold supercont2.5, whole genome shotgun sequence.